CUGACGUUCCUCCUUCCUCUGGCGUUCCACUUGGGACGUUUGGCCAGAGCUGGUUGUAGUGCUACAGGUCCGCGUCUCCCCGGAGCAGAGGUUUCAGCAUGUGCGGCGGGAGUGCAGCUUCCUGUCAAGAGGACUCAAGAGGGGAAAGAGGAGGCCUGGAGUGGACACCAGAAAAGGACAAUGGCCAAUAAAGUGAGCUAUCAGCCUGACAACCUCCUCCAUUAAGGGGGGCCCUGGGAGCUAGCCCGUGGUGAAACUGCCGACCUGGCAGGCAUGGAUGAUGUGGAUGUCCAGGACCAUGCAGCCAGAGGUAGCUGGCUUGAAAUGAAGCAGGGGAUGAACUCUGCAGGGGGGAAUCCCCAGAUCCAGGGCUGCCCACUGUCUUUGGUCCCACUCCCAGGCCUGGAAUCUUCCACCAAGGCUCCUCCCAGGCCAAGGCCCAGGCUUCCCUGGAGACUUCCGCCCCAUUUCCUGAAGCCUCACCUCUGGGAGGAGGAGGAAGUCCACCAGGCAGCAACUCCUCUGCCUCCUCCUGUCCGCCUUUGCCCCGGGGGAAGGGAGGGAGACACUGCGGACAGCAAACCCCCGACCCAGAGAACUCCAUCCCCGCUCCGUCGCCUCUUCUGGGGCCUAGAGACCCAGACCUGCCUUUCCACCAGUCAGAAAACAAAAGAUGAAAAAAGUCUGGAUGCAAGAGUGAAAUACUGGGUCAUGAAUAUGGUGCCUUUUUCUUGCUUACACCCGCGAGCACAGGAGAGCGGAUGCCAGUGACAUUUGUUUUCUGCUCCGCGCCGGGCACAGGUAAGCCACCAGGGGCGUCUUUCCUAACGAGGAAGAAAAAUGUCAGAACGGCGAUCAGCCUCGUUGCACCCAACAGACUUGAAAAUGAGCAAAAAUAACAGGAAAAUUCACUUUGCAUAGGCUGGCUGUCCAUCGUCCCCAGAUUAGGAGAGUGGGAUUUUCUUUGUGCCAUGCUGAGUUCUGCUACGAGGUGCCCCCACAAGUGGACACACCUCAGAGAGGGGACAUUCAUUCUGGGAAUGACUGUAUUCCAUUUAAAACCGGAGCUGAAGUCGAAGGCUGGGUCCAUGUCUGGUCCUCCUGGUCCUCCUGCUGUCUGAGGUCUGCAUGCCCAGCCCCAUCUGGGAGGCCCCACCUUCCAUUUGAGGUUAUACGUCUUCUGUGUGUGGGGGCAUGGGGCAAAGUCCACUUACUAACAACAACUUUCUGUGAUCUCACAUCACCCUUCAGCGAGCCUGUGAGAUAGGACUGUCACCCCUAUUAACAGAAGAGGAAACUGAGGCUUACAUGGGCCUCUCCACUGUGCUGUACAAGCUCCCUAUCUCUUCUGUCAAGAGCAGACACUAGAUCCUUCAUUACUGUAUUCCCCCAGAGCCCGGCCCAGAGCCUGCACAUGUGGCCCUGGGUGCAUUCUGUCAAAUGACUGAGUGAGUUGGGGUGGCGGGGUCUUGCCCCUACCGGGACCGAGUGCUCUGAGCGCAGGCGCCUUGCCACGCGUGGCUCAUGUAGGCUGGGCACACGGCAGGAGCUCCCGGCGGGGCCUGGUGGGGGCGAGCGGUGCUGCAGGAGCAGGGAAGCUCUCCUCGCUGAUUCCAGGCCAGAGCGGCAGAAAGAUGAAAGGAGGCGAACGAGGAAGUCCUUCAAGUAAUAAAUGAAAGUAACCCUGAUUGGCCUCAUUUAGAGCAGUUCAGAGAAGGAAGAGCCGAGAACCACAUGCAGCCCGUCUCCAGGGCCCAGCCCCGCCCUCCUCGAGUGGCGCAGACGACUGUGGUGGGGCUGUUGGGUGCCAUGGCACUGGACUGCCUGGGAGAGGUGCGUGGUACCCCGCCGUCCUCCUUCAUAGCCAAGGAAGCAGGAGGGACAUCUGCAGAGGACACCAAGAGAAGGUGAGCCUGUGAGAGAUGAUGGCCAGCACAAGGAGAGACAGAACGAGGCCACUGAGGUGGAGAGGUCCCACCAGAGGCACAGGGAGCUGAAUGUGUCCCCUCUGCACGGCCCCACCUGCUCCAUGCACCUCCCCUCGGGCUUCCCCACAGGGACGCAUCACUCUGCCCUCUGGGUGGGUUUGAGGCUGGGGCCAGCAGCAGACUGGGGCUGGAUGACAGUGGCUGGGUGGCCAUGCCCCAGGCUCCUCCUCCCGAGGUCCCCACUCCUGCCAGGUGGUGCUUUCCGCACAGCCACAUUGGCUGCAGAGUCAGGUAGCCCCUCCUCGCCUGGCCCCGCAGCCCAGGAGCAGGAACAGCCCCACUGCUAUUGGCCUCGAGGGGCUGCCCUCCUCCGUGAGUACCCCUUCAUCAAAAUCUCCCGAAUGGGCAUGCCCCCUGCUGCUCGCCAGGCCCUGGCGAUAUAAGGACGUCCUGGGCUUCUAACUUUGAGGUGCAGAGGGACCCUGCUGUGGAGGAGAGAGGCCCUUGCCUCUGAUGUGGGAGGCCUGUACUUCCCAAAGUCAGAGAGCCAGGCGGGCAGGGCAUCCUUGAGAGCAGACCGGGGCCUCUCCUGGAAGGCAGCAGCCGGCACAGGAGGACCCAGCCUCCUCCAUGCACCUGGGCACCCACGACUGGCUGUUUCACGAGUGUGUCUCUGGGCUCUGUUGCAGCUGUCCCCAGAGGACGGUCCUCAAGAUAAAUAAAGAAGCCUCCGCUGACUGUGCAUUCCAGUGUCCAGACUCCAGGGCCUAUUUUUAGAAUGUAGGACAACGUUCUCCCAGAAUAGACAAGACACACUAAUCCAGGAGGCAGGCCUGGGAGCGAUGAAGACAUCGAGUCUAGAGAUGAAUUAGUCGCGAGUAUAUUAUUUGAAGAAAUGUUGAACAGCUAGGCAAAUAUUUGAUCCCUUUGAAUUGGAGCUGGCGUUUUCACAGGCAGAGUGGCAGCGGCUGCCUGAGACGUCCCCUCCUCAAUGGUGUACCUGGCUGUCACGCCUGGUUCUGGAGGCCCCCCUUUUGCUACAUGCUGAGAAGUGGGGUGCCAGUUUUCCGGGCCCUGCAUGGCCAGUGGUUCCCUGGACACUGACAAAGAUUCCUUCCUCAACCAAAUUCAGCUCGGGCUCCCCUGAACUCCUUCUCAACUGGACUUCCACUUCUGGACUUGGUGACUGUCCCUGCAUCGUCCACUUUUAGGGAGAAUCCUGCUGAGUCGGUUUAGCCAGAACCCCCAACCCUCGACAUCUGAUCACCCUCGAAGCCUGGUUCCUCAUCCCAGAGCCCUCCAGGGGAUGUCUGACCCCUGGCCUGCCUUCAGCAAGAAUCCCGUUAGGUCAGUUCGGCCAGAAUCCCCGCACCCCUGACGUUUCCUCUUAGUAAUUCUCCAGCCACUGACCCCCAGCUACUCCUCGGCUGUAAUUCCCACUUCUCAUCUGUAUUCGGAGUUGAGUGGGAUCUCUCUCCUCCAGUUCAUGACCCCUUUGCAGUAGUCCCUACAUUUAUUUUGAUGAACCCCCUGAAUAAAAUCUGCCUGUCCUCAACGAGUGUCAGGAAUAAUUUUUUCUUCAACACCCACUCCCGCGCGGCUCAGGCUGCUAACCACCUCCGGGCCGAGGCACGCCAGCACCACAGGUUCAGCCCGGGCGGGUCCCCGUGAGCAAGCUAGUGCAUUGACACCUUCCACCGAGUGCUAGCAGCGUCCUCCCAGGUGCACAGGAAGGCAGCCCACCAGCUUCCCCAAGGCCAGCACUGCCACAUAGACGGCCCUGAGGGCCUCAGGGCAGGGGAGGGCAGAGAGAGGUCCCGCAUACAGUGGGGGGAGCUGCGACGCCAGCCUGCUCCCCAGGGCUCCACCACGGGUUGGCCUCGGCUGCUUCCAAGGAAGGGAUGGUUAUUUUGGAGGGGAAAUCAAGGAGAAGGGGCUGGGCCCUGGCUGUGAAUGUGUGCUGGAUGGAGCCAAGGGGAGCCGGGACUCCAGGCUGGAAAUGUGAACCAGAGGGCCUGGGGCAUAUUUGAAAUGCCUGGGGAGCUUCUGACAUAGACGAACCCCCACGCCAAGCUCAGACCUAUUGAAUGAAAUCUCUAGGUGGCGGCUUCAGCGUCCGCAUUUUUAAACUGUACACAGGUGGUUCUCCUGAGCAGCCACAAACAGAAGCACUGGCCUAGAAGGUCAUUGGGACCAAUCUUACCUAGAUCUUGAUGGUAGUGUGUCCACCUCUCUCUAAAAUACCGGUCACAUUUACCUGUCUAUUUAAACGUCUGUGAAGUCAUUAAUCGUGUCUUAUCCUUUGUGUCCCUGAAUCUAGUACAGUGCCGGACACUCACAUCAAUACAUCCAUGAAUGAAUCUGUAUUUUAACGUGGUCAUAAAACUACAGCGCUAAAAACACCCCUCGUGCCCAUUUAGUCAACAGGCCCCAUGCACACCCUGUACAGAUGGAGACAUCAAGACCCCGAGCAGAGCAGCUUCCCCCGGAAGUUCCCCCAGCCGAGAAUGCAGGCUGCAGGGCAGCCAUGGCCGUCGUUCUGCUCGCCUCAUUUUCAGUCUCUUUUCCAGGCUUUGUAAACCUGUACGUGUGAGGAGGGGUGCGCUCGGACUCAUGCCAUGGGCUGGGGCGCAUGGUCACUGCUCCCCAGUCCUCUCCUCAUAGGCAAACGCCGCUGUACGCUGGGCCUGUGUUCCAGGAACAGGUCUGGGCGUAAACUGAGCAUCGGCAAAGUGAGUCCAGUCCAUUCAACAAAUAUGUACCAGGGCCUGUUCCAGUGUCCGCAUUUAGGAUACGUCCGUGAACAAAAAGAAACACAUCCCCCCGGGGCUUACAUUCUAGCGGCAUGCGGUAGCCAGUCUCCAAAGACGGCAGCCGACGAUGCCACAGCCCCACACGCACCCUCCUUCCAUCAGCAGGGCCCUGAGUCUCCUCGCCUGGACCCGGGCCACCCUGCGACCAGCCUUGAGCGACAGCAUGCAGCAGGAGUGAGGCCGUGCUGGGUCUAGGCCUAGCCAUUAAGAGAACUGAUUUUGGUCUCUGGGAGCCCAGAGCACGAUGCAAGAAGUCCAGCCACCCUGCCCAGAAAGCAGCCCAGCCAGCCCUUGGCUGUGCCAGCCCCCCAGCCGAGGCACCGGACACAUAAGCAAUGCUAUCUGAUGUCCCAGCUCCAGUCAAGCUCCAGCUGAAGGCAGACACCUGAAGGACCCCAGUCAACAUCAUGUGCAACAGGACUGCCCACUGAGCCCAGCCACCCACGAGGUCCUUAGAAACCAUAAACUGCUAUUGCUUUAAGCCACUGAUUUAUGGGGUAUUGCUCCAACAGACAACUGAAACGUGAGGGGAGAAAGAUCAUAAACAGUAAGCGUGGGAAGUACGCUUCAUUAUCAGUCAUAUUAUCCAUUGUCAGUUAUCAGUGACUCCCAGGUCUUUGGCUUUAGACCCAUGAACACUCUCCCUCCCUUCUCUUGAGGGCACACCUCCCCAUCCUCAGGGCCUCCGCUGCCCAGCUCUCCUCUUGGCGGCAUGGUCAGAAGGUUGAAUAGUCGCCCAGGAGCACAGCCCCCAGACUUGCCCCAAAUCUCUCUGAUUGUCUGGUGCAGAGCAGGUGCUGGCUCUGUCAGAGGCCCUCCAUCAACCUCAGUCCACCCUGUAACUACCCUGCCAGGCCGCCUCUCCACAGGGGAAGGAGCAAGCGAUGAGGGCCUGAGACCGUGAACACACGAUUUGCUCACGCUCCCUGCUGCCUGCGCCAGCCUCACCUCCACUCCCUCACCUGGAAGGUAAGGCCUCCAGGGGCACAAGCUCCCCAGGCACUGUGUCAUGCUGGUCCCAUUGCCUCCUGCUCCUCCUUCUGCCCACUCACUCUUCUCGUGCUAACAGCAGACCAACUUUUCUCAGGGACCCACCCUCCCUCUCUGGUCCAUCGACUCCAUUCCCCCGUCUGGGGCAGGCUCCUUACCCAGAACACAUGGACCAAUCCAUGUAUUCUAACUGUCGCCAUGGUGAUUGGUUCAGGAAUGGGCACACAGCCAAAGCCAUGCAAUCAGAGCCGACCCCAGGACUCUGUGCUUCUAUCAAGAAGAAAACCCCCUCUUCCACCAGGAUUGCUCUUUGUGAGGAUAACGUGAGCCUAGAGCUGCCGGGGCCCCAACAGGAAGAUUGCUAGAGAAUGACACCAACGUGGUAGAAUGCAGAAGAGACCGAGACACAGACAGACAGACACAGACACAGACAGGGAGGGAGAUGAUGACAGCGUUCGAGCCCCUGGGUCCAGCAGUUCCAGAAGCAUGCUGAUCUUGUCGGCAGGAGUAACAUUUGCCAGAGGGAUUCAUCCUUUCAGGCAUAAAUGCCUCCUGUCUUUCUGAAGGGCUGAAGCGACACUCAAGGAAACCUAACAUACUCUGCUGACAGGUGCAUGAGCUGCUAACAAGGCCCAUUUACAGGUAAACAGAAGUCACUUUUAUCUGCCCACAUGUAGCAUGACAGGAAGAGGGGUGCUCAAGCCUUUUUUGGUUGUGACAGGAAACUGAUUUCAAUUGGCUUAAACAAACGGGGCACUUAUUGACCCACGUAUCCUGCUACAGAAAGGACAGGGGUGGUUCUGUCUUCAGGAACAGCUGGAUCUAGGGGCUAGAAAACUGUCUGGAUAGUCAUAGGCUUUCUCUUUUCUCUCUGCACGUGAGACUCAUUCUUCUCUGGUCUGGCUUUCUCUGCGUGUCAGGGAGCAUAGCUUCAGGCAGUCCCUGGCUUACCUCCUCAGAGCCCGGUAGCCAGAGAGAACAAAGUCUUUCCUCUCUAGAACCAGUUAGAAAAGUCCUGGGGAAGGAUUCUGAUGGGCCCAGCCUGGAUGGCUGGUCCACCCACGUGGCCAAGGUCAGAAUCUGUUAUCACAGGCAGGAAGACUGGUGCCAGCAGGCUCCAGGGGAGCACAGUGACUGGUCUUAACCGCAUCUACUUGGAGAGGGGGAGGGGAGGGUGGAGGUGGGGAGACUGUCUACACCGCAGUCAGCCUGAGGUCUAAUCAGACAGCAGUGCCCAGCGAAUGGGGCGCCCCGAGUCCCAGAACUGGGUUCCAGAGCGGCUAUCUUCCCACCAGGCUGGGGGACCGUGGCACAUCAGGUGGGGGGCGCCGCACCUGAGAGAAGGCUGGCUCGCCUUCGAAUGACACAGAGUGGAUGUCAUGGUGGCUUUGAUGGUGUUUAAUUAAAUAUUUGCCACAUUUAAUUAAUCAAAGCCUGAAAUGUGGUACCAGAUGUGACUUAGUGGACAUUACGUCUCAACAGCCCUUGGAAGGGAGCCCCGCAGGCUCGGCCUCCUGGGCCACCUGCGCAAGGGCUCCAGGAGACCCUUGGGGAGCGUCAUUAAUUAAUUAGUGACUGAGGCAGCACUGGGCUUUGCUGUUUCAGAAUGUCAUGCGUCACUCAGGCAGGGGUCUUCCUGUUGGGUCCCAGGGGAGUGGAUUAGGCAAGAGCCCAAUUCCUGGGUGGCAAAAUCUGUCCCAGACCUACACACACACCUACACGCACCUGCCACCUCCUCUAUCCAUAAAUAGUCCCUGUGCCCCAAAUUCCACCAAUAGAGAUUGCUUCCUUGGUUUCUGGCCACGUCCCCGCCCUUUGACCUGCCAUUACCCCAGGGGUUGGGAGCUCCUUGACAGCCUCCGAAGGGGGAAAGUGCUUCCUCCAAAUUGCCCAGCACAACAUGUGGCAACCUUCAGCCCCCUAAGUGUAGAGCUCAAGCACCCCUGCCACCCCCAUCCCCCAGCUAGGGUGGGGGCAGUCCUGAAGAAAGCCUCAGGGCCCAGCCCGCGGGAGGCGCAGGGCAGGUGGGCAGCUAGUUAUCCCCGGGCUGCAGGCACAGCUCUUCUGGGCCCAUCCAGGGUGGGAGGGCAGCGGCGGACACAAUGAGAUGCCAGGAUCUGCAGUCACAGUGACCUUUCCAGAAGCAAAUCUGAUGGUUUGGGGCGGCUGGGGGAUUCCCCACCACCCUCUUCAUCCAGGCUGCCCUGGCCCUGCUGCCCCCAGCAGUGCCAAGCAUCAUCCUGACUCCCCAGCCCCCAUCUCAAGAGUCUACAUUCCAGCUGCGCCAGCCUCCGGUCCGGUCCUGAAAGCACCAGGCCGAGUCCGCAUUCUUUGGCCCUCGGCACAUUCCCUUCCCUCUGCCCGACAUCCUUGACAGUCUCUCAGAUCUCACUGAAGAUGUCAGCUCCUCCAGGAAGUCCAGUUGCCUUGAGCGUGGAUUCCAGCAUGGGAGGGGUGGGUAGGCGGUCCCAGGCAGGGGCAGCCAGAUGCCACUAGGCUUCCCUGUCUAGCUUCUCGGCACAUCCCAUGCGCUCGUGGAACCACUACAGGUAUGGGAUGGAUGCCAGCGUCUCUCCCUCCUGUCUGACCCUAAGUGCAACCUCAUUUGGAGAUGGCAGUCCUUUGGCGACCCUGAGGCCUCGGUCAAGUGGCCCACAUGCUCCUUAUAGGGAUGGAAAACUGAGGCCAGAGCAAGGAAGAGGCCAGCUCAAACUGGCCUGGCAAACCAGGCUGCCCUCCCCCAGAAGUUCCUCCCCUCCCAUGCCGCUGAGCUCCGCACCCUCCUCCCAGCCCCCAGCCCUGGCACAAGCUGGCCUCGCGGGCUUCAGGAUCCAGCCAUCCCGACACCCUUGGGCACCCCCCAUCCGGUCUCCUCUGCCUUAUUCCCUGCCCUUUAUAAAUAUGCAUUGGGCCAGAGAGAUGGGGGGCCUCUUUUUGAGGGAAAAUUAACAACAGUGACAAACUUAGUUAUUCAUGCAAACCGUCAGCCCGUGAUCCCUGAUUAUGCAGGAUGCAAACUGUGCCUAUCUGAGCGACUGGGCGCCCUCAUCAAAGGCGCCCCCCGCAGCAGCCGGCCCACCUUGCCGCCGCCUUGUGCCCUCUCAGCGCCGGCACGGGCCAGUGGCGCCCCCUCCGCCAGCGCCUGCUCCUGACGCAGGGCCCCUCCACACUGGAGUUUAAAGGAUUAAUUAACCUUGUGGGAUUGGCGGGGAGAGCUCCACCUGGCUAUCUGCUGCAUGAAAGCAUCCGCUCGCCAGAGUAUUUUAAGCUCACAGUGCAGACCAUAUGGUAUUUCAAAGAACAGAAGCUGAAAGUACAGUACAUAUUUAUUCCUUCCACAGAGAGCAUUAAAGGGGUUUAAGUAUUUUAUUAAAGCCUAUACGAGCGGGCAUGUGUGUGUGCGUCUGUGUGUGUGUGCGAGGCAAGCGCAAAUAUACUUGACGCAUAGAAAAAAUAAAUGACACAGAUUUAUUUUCAUCUCUCUGCCAACCCACCCCAUAGCAACAGUGUAAACUUGAGAAAACAAGAAAUAUUUUAUCAAGUCGUCUCAACUCAUGGCUAUUGCCAAUUUUUCCUCUCUAUUUUGAAACGAUAGCAGUCUCCUUGGUGUCAGGCCUGCUGGCAGAAGGAAGAGUGGGGAGGCAGGUCUAAGAUGAUAAAGGGGCACACGGGCAGCCCAGGCCCCUUCAGGAGCUGCCCCCCACCCCCCACCCCGGCGAGGUGCUUAAUCUGUGCGAACCUCAGUGGCCUUCUCUCCAACGCUGACCUCUCAGGGCAGGGUAGGGAAUAAAAUGAGAAGGCGCUGGCAGCCUACCUGGAAGAGCCCUGGAUCUGGGAUUUCGAGGAAAACCUACUGUGGAAGUCGGUGGACUGCGCCCUUCCCAGCAGGCCGUCUCCCUCCUCCUGGGAACGGCCCUGCCCUCUCCUUGGGGCAGCCCCCUUUCUAUCUCUCAGCCCAGGUGAUGGGGUUCGAAUUAACUCCACUCCUCUCAUGACAGGCUGGCCAAUCAGAGCCCUGUGUCUCCCCAGCCUCAAUGACUGGUCCAGGGAUGGUCACGAGACCCGUGACAGAACAAUGGGGCUCAGUCCUGAGACUUUUGCUGGAAUGACUGGGAAGGACGCUCUCUUUCCCAGCAGACUUGCCAGGCCGGGAGCUUGGAGCUCAUUGCCAACCGAGUCUUGGGCAAAAACCUAGUGACAGGAGAGUCCAGGACAGAUGUGGACUCUGUCCAAACGACGGCUCGCCUCUCCUAAGCAGAAGAUAGAAAUUGAAAUUCUCAAAAUAAAUAAACAAAAAUUUUAAAGGAAAAAAAUACAGAGCAGGCAAGCUGGUCAGGUGCAGCUGCCCAAGGCUCUGACUAUCCUCUCUGGACAACGACGGAGGCUGGAUCCCAUGCAGAGAGGCCAGAGGUCUCAGGAAGGCCAGGCUGCCCCGCCCUGGGCACCUCAGGCUCUGCCUGCAGUCGGAGGCCUGCCCUGAGGGGGCAGCGGUGAGCCCACGCGGCCUCAGGAGCAGUGGGAGGGGCUUCCAGCCGGGGCUCUCCGCGCCCUGAUGCACAUCCCUUUUCACAGGAAGAGACUCUGUUGAGGAAACAGCUUAUAGUCUAGAAAUUCAACAAAUGCAAAUGCACACAGCACAGGUGUCAGAGCAUGGAUAGACUCUGAAAUUCUAGGUCUCCCCUCCCCCACCGCUCUGAUGAAAAAACUGAAUACCAGGAAGAUAAUAACUACCUUCCACCCAGCCUUUCUCCCACCUCGUAUUUACCAUCUUCAAGUCUUUCCUUUCAUAUAUGUAGGAGAGAAGAGAUUUUCUGGCCAUAAGAUGUAAAUGGGAAAGUGUAAUUUUCUCUAAUAUUCUAUAAGUGAGAAUUGAACCUCCAUUUUAUUUAUUUGUUUUUUUGUUUGUUUGUUGGUGAGGAAGAUUGGCCCUGAGCUAAGAUCUGUGCCAAUCUUCCCCUAUUUUGUAUAUGGGAUGCCAUCACAGCAUGGCUUGACAAGCAGUGUGUAGGUCUGUGCCUGGGAUCCAAACCUGCACACUCCAGGCUGCCAAAGCAGAGCUGUGAACCUGCCCCCUACACCACCUGACCGGCCCUGAACCUCCAUGUGACAUGAUGGCAAAAAAGUUAAUCUAGUUAGUUCCAGUUUCCUCAGACAGUGCUGUGUUCCGUCAUUUCAGAUCUAAACUCAGUCCACGGAGAUUUUCCUCCUCACCCUCUUCUCCAUCUGAGUUUUAGGGGCUAAGAGAGUCACGGCAUACAGGACACUGGCAGGGAGAGAGGUCUCCUUGGCCAUCCAGUGUCAUUCCUCAGCCGCUCUGCUCUGGUCAGAGCCAAUAAUGCUAUCUGACCAAUCCUCCUGUAGGUAAGAACCACAAAUUCCAACAGGAACUAAAGGCCCUGGGGAGAGACUAAAGGGCAGACACUGGGGAGAGUCUGCACCUACAGGAGGCAGCAGCACUGGGUACGGGCCCCUUCUUUAUGGGCUGAAGCUCUCCGCAGGCUCCAGUCUGCCCCACGAAGGGCAACUAAAACUUGGAGAGAAAAGUCCUACUGGCUUGAAGAACCAGGGGUCAGGGCGAUUACAGCAACUAAAAAGUGACUGAGGAAAUCCAAAAAAGAGAGAGCCAUAGAAGGGGAGGCUCCAAACCUGUGUAUAAAACGCCCAUCUCUUGCCAACCCCACCACAGAGGAGUGAGGCAGUCACUAAGCAGCCCUGCUAAAGCCAGAACUGAGCUGAGAUUUCAGCCAACGUCAUCUGCAGGGGAGAGAGUUUACAGCCUGAGUUUAACCAAGUUAUUUGCCUAGUAAAAUAAAAAUCAACAUCCUUCAGAGCAGUGUACUGAACCUAGAGUCUCUGUACUUGUCAUCAAAUGUCCAGGAUAAAAUCCAAAAUUAUCUGACAUGCGAAGACACAGGAAAACACAAUCCAACUCCAGAGAAAAGACAACCAGUGGGUACCAAACAGAAAGUGACCUUUGAUGUUGGAACGAGCAGACAAUCAUUUUAAGGCACCUAUUAUAACUAUGCAUAUGAACACAAAGGAAAAUAUGAUCAUAAUAAAUGAAAAGAUAAAUAUUCUCAGGAGAGAAACUAUAAGAAACAACAACAGUAAGAAAAAAUGAUGUCAUCCUCCUAUGUGUGGAAGGAAAUCCACUGGCUAUAGUUGAGACAUCUACACUUGCUGGCAGGAGCUGAGAAGGCCAUUUCUCCACUGAUCCACAGUUACCAGACCAUACCAGCCCCCCUUCAUCCUCCUCGGCCAGAAUAAGAGACACCAUCAAGUCUACAAGUCCUCUUUUGAGAAACACCUUCCCCCUCCUUGGGGCACAGGAAAACGUGACUGAAACCCACAAAAUCUGGGGCCAAAGGAGCCACACACACACACCCCCAAACCAAUACCCCUUCCGCAUGCAAAUGCAAGACUCCUAACAAUAUUUUCGCAAAUCCAAUCUAGAAAUAUACAAAAGAGAGUUUUAUCUCAGGAAUUCUAGGUUUGUUUAAAAUUCAAAAGUCAAUGGAUUCAUCCUUAUAACCAAAUGAAGGAGAAAUGCCACGUGAUCAUCUCACUGGGUGCAGAAAACACGUGAAAAAUUCAAUACCCAGUCAUAAUUGUAAAAGAAAAGAGACAAACUCAACAGAAAGAGAAUAGAAGGGAAGUUCCUCAAUCUGAGAAAAGAAUCUGUGAAAAGUCGACAUCUGAGGUCAUCCUUAACGGGAGAAGAACGAGUGCGCUCCUCCUAAGAUGAGGAAAACGGCAGAGAAGUUCCCUCUCACUGCUCACACCCAACGUCGUACCAGAAGUCCUGGCCAACGAAACAAGGCGGGGAAGACAUCAAAGACAUACAAAUCGGAAAAGAAGACCUAAAACUAACUUUAUUCACAGAACAUAUGAUCAUCUAUGUAGAAAAUCCCUAAGAAUAUACCAAAAAAAAAAAAAAAGGAUUAGAAACUGUAAUUUUAUAAUCAAAUUUAAAAUGGUAUUACAAAAGUGAAAUACUUAGGCAUGAAGCUAACAAAAUAUGUUUAAGAUGUGUAUGCGUAAAUAUAGAAAACCUUGUUGAAAGAAAUCAAAGACCUAAGUCAAUGGGAAUAUACCCCACGUUCAUGGAUCGGAAGACUCAAUGUUGUUAAGACAUCAAUUCUUUCCAAAUUGAUCCCAAUUGAUAUCCCAGCACGGGCUUUCUUGGUAGCAAAUGACAAGCUGAUUUUAAAUUGUAUAUAGAAACGCAAAAGUAAAGUCCAGAAAUAAAGCCAAACAUAGAUGGCCAAUUGAUUUUUGAUAAAUAUGCCAAGGUAAUUCAAUGGGGAAAGGAUAGUCUCUUCAACAAAUGGUGUUGGGACAACAGGAGAUCCAUAUGGAAAAAAACUGAUCUUUGAUUCUUACUUCAUACCACACAAAAAAUUAACUCAAAGUAGUUCACAGACCUAAACACAAAAAAUAACACUAUAGAAGUCCUAGAAGAAAAUAUUUGUGAC